rnacentral:ncRNA from 1 species
ACCUUCCUGUAAGGGUAAAUGUGAUUCUUUGAUGAAAGCGACCGGACGCUGCUUGCAUGGACAGAUGAUACGUGCUCUCUCUGUUUUCAUGGUCGCAACUAUGUGGCUGCAACACGUUAUAGCCAUACGAAGGAUUUUUAUGACAAGUGAAGAAC